GACGAACGCUGGCGGCGUGCUUAACACAUGCAAGUCGAACGGAAAGGCCCUGCUUUUGUGGGGUGCUCGAGUGGCGAACGGAUGAGUAACGCGAGAGUAACCUGCCCUUGACUUUGGGAUAACUUCAGGAAACUGGUGCUAAUACCGGAUAGGAGCUCCUGCGGCAUGGUGGGGGUUGGAAAGUUUCGGCGGUUGGGGAUGGACUCGCGGCUUAUCAGCUUGUUGGUGGGGUAGUGGCUUACCAAGGCUUUGACGGGUAGCCGGCCUGAGAGGGUGACCGGCCACAUUGGGACUGAGAUACGGCCCAGACUCCUACGGGAGGCAGCAGUGGGGAAUAUUGCACAAUGGGCGGAAGCCUGAUGCAGCAACGCCGCGUGCGGGAUGACGGCCUUCGGGUUGUAAACCGCUUUCGCCUGUGACGAAGCGUGAGUGACGGUAAUGGGUAAAGAAGCACCGGCUAACUACGUG
rnacentral:rRNA from 1 species